ACCAGCUAUCAGUUUGUGGAUGAUAAUCUGUUAUUUCAUCACUAUACAUACGUUAUUACUACAGUUAAUGAAUUAGGAGAAGGAAUAUCUAAUAACAAUACAUUCUCAUAUCAAAGAGUACCUAGAGCUGUUGAAAACACCUCACUUGACAUACUUUCUUAUAUACAAGAUCAAGUUAUUAUUCAGUUCUAUAUUCCAAUAACACUGAAGUGCACUAGUGAAGCUCCUGAACAUGUUACAGUUACUGUAAUAUGUAAUAAUGGAAUUGAUAGCAGUACAACUUACUUUAUAAAACAAAAAAUCAAUAUAACAGGAAUUAGAUCAGUACCUCAGUAUCAACAGUGUAAUGUCAGUAUUGUAUUUAGUAAUGAGGCUGGUAGUAGUGAACCAUUUAUACUAGCAUUUGAUACAUAUCCUACUAUCACUAGUGCCACUACUGUCACUAUUACUGA